AUCCAUUUGACGAGUCCCAAAUAGGACGAAACGCGCGUCCUGGAU
rfam:Schistosoma mansoni strain Puerto Rico chromosome 6, complete genome